GAUGAACGCUAGCUACAGGCUUAACACAUGCAAGUCGCGGGGCAGCAUGGGGGUUGCUUGCAAUCCCCGAUGGCGACCGGCGCACGGGUGAGUAACGCGUAUCCAACCUGCCCUUCACCACGGGAUAACCCGGCGAAAGUCGGACUAAUACCGUAUGUUGUCCAUUGACGGCAUCCGAUUUGGACGAAAGGCUUGGCGGUGAGGGAUGGGGAUGCGUCCGAUUAGCCAGACGGCGGGGUAACGGCCCACCGUGGCUACGAUCGGUAGGGGUGCUGAGAGGAAGGUCCCCCACACUGGAACUGAGACACGGUCCAGACUCCUACGGGAGGCAGCAGUGAGGAAUAUUGAUCAAUGGGCGUAAGCCUGAACCAGACAAGUAGCGUGCAGGAUGACGGCCAUAUGGGUUGUAAACUGCUUUUAUGCGGGGAUAAAGUGGCCCACGUGUGGGCUUUUGCAGGUACCGCAUGAAUAAGGACCGGCUAAUUCCGUG
rnacentral:rRNA from 1 species